rnacentral:lncRNA from 1 species
AGGCUGUGUUUCAGGCCAAAGUCUAGGUUCUGAUGGUUCCACUUUAGGCUGCGGCGAGUUAGACUCGUUGCAAGAGUUUCCUAGAAGUUCGCCGACAGCAAGAUCAUUCGGUAAAGAAAGCGGACGGUCUUCCCCGUCUUUUACGCUUAUCUUCUCCGGUUCAAACUCAGUAACGAAAUUAUUUUCCAUCUUUCCUUCCUCUCCAUAGUUUUCUUGAGAUGCAACGGGAGUUACGUUAUCCUGCCGGUCGACGACGGGUUUCUUCGACACGUCCUCCUCCGUCAACCUUUGAAGUUUGGAUUGCAGAGACCUAAAGGUGAAAUGACCAAAAUAUCCGAAACAAUUAUUAGCUGUUGUGAUUUGUAAAAAUAUAAAAUAUCCAAUUCAAGUGGUCAAGAUCUCGCGUGCCGGGGAAUUAAAGACCGUUAGAUCGCAAACCAAUGGAGUGGAUAUAUUUGAAGAUUUAAAAAAAAAACGAAAGCAAAUAACAAAUCAAGAGAGAGAGGGAGGCCGGAGGGGUCAGGGGAAACUGAGAAGUAAGUAAUGGGGGAUUACACG